GACGAACGCUGGCGGCGUGGAUUAGGCAUGCAAGUCGCGCGACGGACCUUCGGGUUACGGAGCGGCGAACGGGUGAGUAACACGUGAACAAUCUGUCCCUACAUUCCGGAUAAUUGGCCGAAAGGCCUUGUAAUACGGGGGAGGAUGGUGGUGAGGCAUCUCACUAUCAGGGAAGGUGCAACGCAAGUUGUGCCGUGCAGGGAGGGGUUCGCGGCCUAUCAGUUAGUUGGUGGGGUAACGGCCUACCAAGACGACGACGGGUAGCUGGUCUGAGAGGAUGGUCAGCCACAUUGGAACUGAGACACUGUCCAGACUCCUACGGGAGGCUGCAGUCGAGAAUCUUGGGCAAUGCACGAAAGUGUGACCCAGCGACGCCGCGUGGAGGAUGAAGGCCCUUGGGUUGUAAACUCCUUUUAUGGAAGAAGAACGUCCCUUCGGGGACUUGACGGUACUCCAUGAAUAAGCCACGGCUAACUACGUGCCAGCAGCCGCGGUAAUACGUAGGUGGCAAGCGUUGUCCGGAUUUACUGGGCGUAAAGCGUGUGUAGGCGGACCUUUAAGUAGAAAGUGAAAGGUAGGAGCUCAACUCCUACAUUGCUUUCUAUACUGGAGGUCUUGAGUGUCGGAGAGGAAGAUGGAACUGCACGUGUAGCGGUGAAAUGCGUUGAGAUGUGCAGGAACACCAAUGGCGAAGGCAAUCUUCUGGACGAAAACUGACGCUGAGACACGAAAGCCAAGGUAGCAAACAGGAUUAGAUACCCUGGUAGUCUUGGCCCUAAACUAUGUUCACUAGGUGUCGGGGGUUUCCCUCGGUGCCGCAAGCUAACGCAUUAAGUGAACCGCCC
rnacentral:rRNA from 1 species